rnacentral:rRNA from 1 species
ACAUGCAUACAUCAUAGUGUUAAUGCAUUGGAUCCCAUUAGAACUCCAUAAUUAAGCACACUUGGGAUAGAGUAGUACCGAUAUGGGUGACCACCCGGGAAGUCCUACUAUUUUACAUGCC